GUGAAGAACGCAGCGAAAUGCGAUAAGUAAUGUGAAUUGCAGAAUUCAGUGAAUCAUCGAAUCUUUGAACGCACCUUGCACCCUUUGGCAUUCCGAAGGGUAUGCUCGUUUGAGUGUCAUUGUACUCUCACACUCUCCGAUCCUAUGGAUUCGGGGAGCGGUGGACUUGGGUGUUGCUGCCUUUCCUUGUGGCUCACCUCAAAUGUGUCAGUGCACCUCUUGGUUGGACAUAGUACGGCGUGAUAAGUGUCUUCGCCGGCACCUCGCAAGAGGGUGGCCGAUCGGGAGCUCUGUGCUUUCAAACCGUCUUCGGACAAUUUCUGACAACUUGACCUCAAAUCGAGUAGGACUACCCGCUGAACUUAAGCAUAUCAAUAAGCGGAGGA
rnacentral:misc_RNA from 1 species